rnacentral:rRNA from 1 species
CCUACGGGAGGCAGCAGUGAGGAAUAUUGGUCAAUGGCCGGAAGUCUGAACCAGCCAAGCCGCGUGAAGGAUGAAGGUGCCAAGCAUUGUAAACUUCUUUUAUCUGGGAAUAAAAUGAUGCUCGUGAGCCUGUUUGUGUGUACUUGAUGAAAAAGCAUCGGCUAACUCCGUGCCAGCAGCCGCGGUAAUACGGAGGAUGCGAGCGUUAUCCGGAUUUAUUGGGUUUAAAGGGUGCGCAGGCGGAUUGUUAAGUCAGUUGUGAAAGUUCGCGGCUCAACCGUGGACUGGCAGUUGAAACUGGCAGUCUUGAGUACAGUAGAGGUGGGCGGAAUGCGUGGUGUAGCGGUGAAAUGCGUAGAUAUCACGAAGAACUCCGAUUGCGAAGGCAGCUCGCCGGCCUGAAACUGACGCUGAGGCUCGAAAGUGUGGGUAUCAAACAGGAUUAGAUACCCCGGUAGUU